UACGAAGGGGGCUAGCGUUGUUCGGAUUUACUGGGCGUAAAGCGCACGUAGGCGGAUCGUUAAGUCGGGGGUGAAAUCCUGGAGCUCAACUCCAGAACUGCCUUCGAUACUGGCGAUCUUGAGUCCGGAAGAGGUGAGUGGAACUCCUAGUGUAGAGGUGGAAUUCGUAGAUAUUAGGAAGAACACCAGUGGCGAAGGCGGCUCACUGGUCCGGUACUGACGCUGAGGUGCGAAAGCGUGGGGGAGCGAACAGG
rnacentral:rRNA from 1 species